rnacentral:rRNA from 1 species
UACCGGCAGCUCGAGUGAUGGCCGUUCUUAUUGGGCCUAAAGCGUCCGUAGCCGGCCAAGUAAGCUCGUCGGGAAAUCCACGCGCUCAACGCGUGGGCGUCCGGCGAAACCUGCUUGGCUUGGGACCGGACGGCCCGAGGGGUACGGCCGGGGUAGGAAUGAAAUCCUGUAAUCCCGGCCGGACCACCGGUGGCGAAAGCGCCUCGGGAGGACGGAUCCGACGGUGAGGGACGAAAGCCAGGGUCACGAACCGG